rnacentral:tRNA from 1 species
GCCCCCAUGGUCAAGUGGUUAAGAUUCCGCCCUCUCACGGCGGCGUCAGGGGUUCGAAUCCCCUUGGGGGUACCA